UACGUAGGGUGCGAGCGUUGUCCGGAAUUAUUGGGCGUAAAGGGCUCGUAGGCGGUCUGUUGCGUCGGUAGUGAAAACUCAGGGCUUAACCCUGAGCCUGCUUCCGAUACGGGCAGACUAGAGGUAUGCAGGGGAGAACGGAAUUCCUGGUGUAGCGGUGAAAUGCGAAGAUAUCAGGAGGAACACCGGUGGCGAAGGCGGUUCUCUGGGCAUUACCUGACGCUGAGGAGCGAAAGUGUGGGGAGCGAACAGG
rnacentral:rRNA from 1 species